rnacentral:rRNA from 1 species
GAUCAUGGCUCAGGAUGAACGCUAGCUACAGGCUUAACACAUGCAAGUCGAGGGGAACGAUAUUGGAAGCUUGCUUCCGAUAGGCGUCGACCGGCGCACGGGUGAGUAACGCGUAUCCAACCUGCCCAUCACUUGGGGAUAACCUUGCGAAAGUAAGACUAAUACCCAAUGAUAUCUCUAGACGACAUCUGAAAGGGAUUAAAGAUUUAUCGGUGAUGGAUGGGGAUGCGUCUGAUUAGCUUGUUGGCGGGGUAACGGCCCACCAAGGCGACGAUCAGUAGGGGUUCUGAGAGGAAGGUCCCCCACAUUGGAACUGAGACACGGUCCAAACUCCUACGGGAGGCAGCAGUGAGGAAUAUUGGUCAAUGGGCGAGAGCCUGAACCAGCCAAGUAGCGUGCAGGACGACGGCCCUAUGGGUUGUAAACUGCUUUUAUAAGGGAAUAAAGUGAGUCUCGUGAGACUUUUUGCAUGUACCUUAUGAAUAAGGACCGGCUAAUUCCGUG